UACGUAGGGUGCGAGCGUUAAUCGGAAUUACUGGGCGUAAAGCGUGCGUAGGCGGUUUGCCGUGUCCUGUGUGAAAGCCCCGGGCUCAACCUGGGAAUUGCAUGGGAAACUGGCAGGCUUGAGUGUGGCAGAGGAGGGUGGAAUUCCGCGUGUAGCAGUGAAAUGCGUAGAUAUCCGGAGGAACACCAGUGGCGAAAGCGGCCACCUGGACUGCACCUGACGCUGACACGCGAAAGCUAGGGGAGCGAACGGG
rnacentral:rRNA from 1 species